AACAUAAGUCAACAAGCUUGCGCUUCGUUUAUGUCUAUAAAAAUAUUUUACUCCACCACUGAGACUUUCUCAUUCAGGAUCUUGUCGAGUAUACCAAAAUAAAAAUUCAAAGGCACGCUUCGUAAACAAGUACUAUUUAAGUAAUCUCGCGUUAUUAUAUUCCAGAUUUCGUACCAUUCAAAACAAUAUGCAAUCCGUUGCAGUAAUUUUGUGAACAAUCCAUAUAUAGAGUGUCUCUUUACGCAGUUUUUAAAUGUAAAUGUAAAUGUGUUAACGCAAUUCCAGUGUCUUGCAAGUGAGCUACAAAUUGUCCUGUCGUACAAUCUCCCAGUAUAGUUUCCAUAUCGAGUCACACGUGAUUUUAUAUAAUUAUAAUAAUAUAAUUAACUUAAGAAGAAAGGCUAGCUGCCGAGAAAAACUUUUAACAUUUUUAUAGACAUUUAUUACUGCGCAUGCGUUUGCGCAUGUGAAAGGUGAUACAAGAAAAAAACUAAAAAGUUCCCUGAACUAAUGUAGUGUAUGAUGACUGAAAACUAAAAUCAUUAAAAAUGAAAGUUUUUUUAACUUUUCGAAUAUUUCUUUGCAUUUUAAUUUUAAGGGAAACGUGCCCACAAAAUUUAAGAGGGAAUGUUACUGUGACAGACCUGCAUUUAAUAAGUGAAAACAUUGUUCCAAUGAGAAGGGUUCUGGAUAGAGGCCCUUACUUUGAUACUUCAGCUACUAAAAACGUGACAUCCUUAGUUGGGAUAACAGGACACCUAAAUUGUCGCAUUAAAAAUCUUGGAAACAAAACGGUGUCAUGGAUACGGCAUAGGGAUUUGCAUCUGCUUACUGUAUCUGAAAGCACUUACACUUCGGAUCAGCGUUUUACUUCCAUUUACAAUAAGCAAACUGGAGAUUGGUCCUUACAGUAUUCUGCCAGUGCAGUGAUUUCAGGCGGUGGGCACGCCUCGUCACCGGCAAAUUAUACCGAUGCCACCACAGUCUUCUUAGCUGCUCUCACAUCUUCUACCACGAUCGGUACACAGUCCCGCGUUAGAAAUUCUAUAAAGUUUCCUCAAUUAAGAGAUUCGGGAGUCUACGAAUGUCAAGUAUCCACAACACCACCAGUGGGAUAUACCAUGGUAUUUUCAGUUGUAGAGCCUAUUACUAGUAUCCUUGGCGGUCCAGAGAUUUACAUUGAUUUGGGAUCAACGGUUAAUUUAACAUGCGUGAUAAAACAUUUACCGGACCCGCCAAUUUCAGUGCAGUGGAAUCAUAACAAUCAGCAUUACUUUUUUCGCAGGAAAUUAACUAUGAUUCACCAAGGGGAGGAGUUUCAGUAAUAACUGAAAAAGGAGACAUAACAACAUCGUAUCUGUUGAUUCAACGAGCAAGCAUUGCUGACUCAGGGCAAUAUUCUUGCUUACCGUCAAAUGCAAACUCCAAGUCCGUAAAUGUUCAUAUUUUAAAGGGUGAUCACCCAGCAGCAGUUCAAAAAUCCCACUUACUGGUAUCGGAACUUUUAAGUCUGUGUUUUCUUCAGAUUUGUUUAAAAUUAUCAGCUCAAUAAGUACUUCUUAAUUGCGAAUAAAACUAUAUUUCCAAAUAAAAAUUUCAAAAUUCGAAUUAAAAAUUUAUAUUUUUUGAGAAUAUA